GUCACGCCCCCUGCUUGCUGCCUCUGGCUUUUUUUUUUUUUUUUCUUUUCCUUUUUGGCCAAGAGGCCUGAGCUCAGUCACCCCAAAACUUCUCCCGGCAAAGCAGCCCCUUGUUUAAGCCCCAGGGCCCGACGGUCCGUCCCCCACCAGCCCGCCAGCUCCGCAGGCCCUUCCAGGGGGGCCUGGCGCCCGGGGCGCGCCCCCCCCUCUCCGCCGGCGGGGCUAGCGGCUGCCCGAGGGGGCGCACGGGGGUCAGGGCGCCCCCAGAACCAGCGGGCGGACCCAGACCCAGAACACCCCGGAAGCUGUCGUUCCCGUGUCCCUGCGACGUCCCUCUUCUUAGGAGCAGGUCCUUCAAGGACCCUAAUAGGCGCUUCCCAGGGGGGUGGCCCCAGCCCCGCAGCCCGCUGCUCAGCCCGGCCGUCGGCGCCCGGGAAGGGGGUGCGCACCCUGCCCCGCCCCGGGGCGCCCCCGGCACCUGCGCCUCCCCCCGCGCCCGCACCCCGUAGGGCGUCCUCGAAGGGCAGCCCUGCCCGGGGCCUCCCGCGGGACCUAGGAGCUCGGGGUGUGCAACCUCCGGCCCCCCACGGGGACCUAGGAGCUCGGGGUGUGCAUCCUCCGCCCCCCCACGGGGACCUGGGAGCUCGGGGUGUGCAUCCUCCGCCCCCCCACGGGGACCUAGGAGCUCGGGGUGUGCAUCCUCCGCCCCCCCACGGGGACCUAGGAGCUCGGGGUGUGCAUCCUCCGCCCCCCCACGGGGACCUAGGAGCUCGGGGUGUGCAUCCUCCCCCCCCCCCCCCGCGGGACCAGAGAGCCUGGGGUGUGCAUCCCCCGCCCCCCAACGGGGACCUAGGAGCUCGGGGUGUGCAUUCUCCGCUCCCCCACGGGGACCUGGGAGCUCGGGGUGUGCAUCCUCCGCCCCCCCACGGGGACCUGGGAACUCAGGGUGCCCGCCCCGCCUCCCGACAGAACCUGGGAGCCCGGGGUGUCCACACCCCCGCGGACCUGGAGCCCGGGUGUCCGCCCCCUGAGUGUGGGCCCCCCCACCCCUGCCUAGGGGACCCCGAGCCCGGCCCAGGCAGCUCCCGCCGGCCCGCCCCGGGGCGCACAGUCCCUCCGGGGGCAACAAAAGGGACGCUGGGCUGCGCGGAGUUUCGCUCGGGGUCUCCUCGCUCGGACCCCGCGGAGACGCCCCGGCCCCGCCCCGGCCCGCCCCGCCCCGCCCCGGGGGUCCGCGCCCCCGACCCGCGCCGCUCCCCGCGCGGCCGCAACAGGUCCUCGCCGCGGUGCCGGCCACGGGCCUCCCGCCGCCUCCCCCCGCUGGGCGCCCUCCUCCGGGACCCUGCCCUCCCCCGGACCCCUGCCCAAUUCCUGAGGGCGCUGCCCUCCCCCGGACCCCUGCGCCCUCUCCCCGGACCCCUGCCCUCCCCCCCGGACCCCUGCCCAACUCCCGGGGGCGCUGCCCUCCCCCCGGGCCCCUGCGCUCUCCUCCCCAGGGCCCCGCGCCCUCUCCCCGGACCCCUGCCGUCCCCCGGAGCCCCCCGCGCUCUCCCUCCCGGGCCCCUGCCCUCCUCCCCAGGGCCCCGCGCCCUCCCCGGGCCCCGCGCCCCGUCCCCGGACCCCCGCCCCCCGGCCCCCGCGCCCUCCCCGCGGCGGGUCCCCGGGGCCGCUCCCUACCUGCCGGAGGCCGGGCUUGCGCGGGAGGACGGCCGGGGCGCGCGGUCCCCGCAGACCUGCGGGAUCCGCGCAGUGGGGUCGGCUCCGGGCGGGCCGAGCCGCGCGACCUCCUCCUCCGCCGCCUCCUCCGCCUCCUCCUCCGCCUCCGCCGCCGCCGCCGUGCCCGCGGCCCACUCGGAAACUUUCCCGGCGAAGAGUCGCCGCGGCCGCGGGAGCUGGGCCGGGCCGUGCGCCCCGGGACCCGCCGAGGCGGCCGUGGCGGCGCCGGGUGGAGGCCGGGCCUGCGGGCGGCUCGGCUGGGGCCGCGGGGCUCCCCCUCUCGGCCGAGGGGCCCCAGCGCCGCGGGCCGGCGCCCCCCUCCCCGCCCCUCCCCGCCCCCGCGCCCCGCCCCGCCCCGCCCCUCCCCGCCCCGCCCCUCCCCGCCCCGCCCCCUCCCCCCGCCGCUCCGGGGCUGCGCUGGCGGCGGGACGGGGUGCGGCGCGGAGAGCCCGCCGGGGACCUCGAGGCCGCCCCGCCCGGACCGACGGACCCAGGCCCCCGCCCCUCGCGCCCCUCCCGGCCCCGCGCGCCUCGGCGGAGCACCUGCGCCUUCCCUUUCUCUUCGGCGUUUUGUCUUGA
rnacentral:lncRNA from 1 species